rnacentral:rRNA from 1 species
AACGAACGCUGGCGGCAGGCUUAACACAUGCAAGUCGAGCGCAUCCUUCGGGGUGAGCGGCAGACGGGUGAGUAACGCGUGGGAACGUGCCCUUUGCUACGGAAUAGCUCCGGGAAACUGGAAUUAAUACCGCAUGAGCCCUACGGGGGAAAGAUUUAUCGGCAAAGGAUCGGCCCGCGUUGGAUUAGCUAGUUGGUGGGGUAAAGGCCUACCAAGGCGACGAUCCAUAGCUGGUCUGAGAGGAUGAUCAGCCACAUUGGGACUGAGACACGGCCCAAACUCCUACGGGAGGCAGCAGUGGGGAAUAUUGGACAAUGGGCGCAAGCCUGAUCCAGCCGUGCCGCGUGAGUGAUGAAGGCCUUAGGGUUGUAAAGCUCUUUCACCGGAGAAGAUAAUGACGGUAUCCGGAGAAGAAGCCCCGGCUAACUUCGUGCCAGCCGCCGCCGUAAGAC